GAAAUGCGAUAAGUAGUGUGAAUUGCAGAAUUCAGUCAAUCAUCGAAUCUUUGAACGCACAUUGCGCCCCUUGGUAUUCCAUGGGGCAUGCCUGUUCGAGCGUCAUCUACACCCUCAAGCUCUGCUUGGUGUUGGGCGUCUUUGUCCCGCCUCCGCGCGCGGACUCGCCCCAAAUUCAUUGGCAGCCGGCGUACUGGUCCCGGAGCGCAGCACAUGUCGCGCAAACGAGUGCCUUGGUACGGCGGCGUCCAUAAGCCCCUCUCUCACGCUCUUGACCUCGGAUCAGGUAGGGAUACCCGCUGAACUUAAGC
rnacentral:misc_RNA from 1 species